GGGGUUCUGCAUCAGCAGUUG
rnacentral:piRNA from 1 species